rnacentral:rRNA from 1 species
UACGUAGGGUGCAAGCGUUGUCCGGAAUUAUUGGGCGUAAAGAGCUCGUAGGCGGUUCGUCGCGUCGGCUGUGAAAACCUGAGGCUCAACCUCAGGCCUGCAGUCGAUACGGGCGGACUUGAGUACUGCAGGGGAGACUGGAAGUUCCUGGUGUAGCGGUGAAAUGCGCAGAUAUCAGGAGGAACACCGGUGGCGAAGGCGGGUCUCUGGGCAGUGAACUGACGUGGAGGAGCGAAAGCGUGGGGAGCAAACAGG